UAACCAUUCACAAAUCUUUUUUCCAAAUCAAUUUUCGUGGAACUGUAUAUAUUCCCACAGAUGGGCUUCUGCUUUUUUCCAAGAGAUGGUUUGCAGGGGAGGUGGUUUCAAACUAAUGACUCGCCCUAAGGAGAAAAUGCAGCUUCAUUCAUGUAACAAUUGAAACCAUUAGGAUAGUCAUAGAGUGCAUACAGACUGGGUAUAAAGAAGUACUUGCAUGUUAUUAGAAAAAUGAGUACUGCUGAUUUUUGGAGCUUGUGAAGGUUAAGAAACGUGAAAGAAGUCUUGAGAAAAGGAUGGAGACUCAGAGUACUGUACCAAACAGAGGUCCUAGGAACAGAGAUGAAAACCAAAUCUCAGAAUGGUCUGAAUUAUGUGCCUUGACUUAAAAGAUGAGUUCUCAGUCGUGGCAAACCCAAAGAGAGCAGGCAAUUUUAAUUUGGCAAGCUCUGUACAAAUCCAAUCACCAUUUGGAACUCCAGGAGGAUUGUUCUACCUUGAUGAGUAACAAGAUACAUUGGAAUGUGCUUGGGAUUGUUCUUUCAGCCCUGGCAGAUCAUAAAGGGUGCUCUUCAGGCCUCCCUCAUUCUGCGCCUCAUAGAUACAUCAAGAGUCCUCUUACACUAAAGAGCAAAACUUGAAGCCAUCUCCAGAAUUCUAAUUUUUGUGCAUCAGCAUCUGGAAAUCUCGGCAUUUUUGGCAAAACACAGCUGGACUCCUGGAUGUGCUACAUCUUGAAAGAACUGGGAGGAAGACCUGGGUAUCUUCUACCUCUGGUGCUUUCAUCAGAGCUUGAGUGAAAAGGCUGGCCUAUAUUUGACUUGUUCAGUGUCAACUGCUGGCUUUACAAAAGUAAGUAAAAGCACAUAGAGCUGAUUUCUGGUCUUUCUGACUUUGCAGCUAGUUUGGUGGCCAAAACAGGACUGUUUGCAAAGUAAUAUACCUGUUAUCAGCCAUGAUGUUGCAAAUAAAGCGAGACUUUCCUCAUGCAUUUUUAAUGUGUUAGAAAACAGACUAAUCUGUUGUUGAUCUGGAGUUGCUAAGCUUAUUCCAGUAUUUAUAGACCACAGACAUUAAUGAUAAUGCUUAGCAGUUAAAUACUCUUUGUUAAGACAAACAACAUUUUGGAAAGAGAACAAAGAAUUUAAUCAAAACUGUGAUUGGCUUCCAGAUAGUCCCACUGCUCUCAUUCUCUUGACUUCGCAAAAUGUUUGUUAAAUUUAUCUUUUCUCUUAACUGUUCUGAAAGUUGGCAGUGCUUGCAAUUCAGAGCUCAUUAAUGUAAGAGGCUGCUCUGCUUCUUAUACCUCUCCCGAGUUAAGAAUCUGGUAGAAGUUCCCAUUUCUGCUUGCAUUUGCCUUUCCAUAAAACUUACUCCCUCUGAUAUCCUGAAGCUUACCUGAAGUCUUCUCCUACUUCUCACUCCAUCUCCCCUCUUCGUAGCUCAGAGCUUACAGCCACUUUUUGUAAGUACAUCCAGUCUAUGUAUUUCUUAUCUUUUCUACGGUCAGUUAUCACUUUCCUUUCUCCUUUGCUGCCUUAAUGCUGCUGCAUUUAUGUUGUCUUUGCCAUAUCAGUUUGAAAGAGGCAAAUGAUGUUAUUUUUUUACUCCUUACAAUCCAUCACACGCUAUCUCUUCUGCCCAGAUUCAGGUAAGUCAACAAAUAAAUACUUUUUGUGAGAUUUCCAUCUUUUGUUCAGCUGUAAAUUAAAACAAAAGAAGUAAUACCCUCAACUUUAAGAUUAAGAAGGAGAACGUGUGAACAUGAAUGAAGACUAAGAACUCUUUUCUGGUGAGAAAAUGACUAAGUAUUUGAUAUAAUAAGCAUGUUGACACAGUAGUACUGUACAAACAUGUUUUCAUCAACUCAGCAUAAGUAUUCUUACCUAGUUUAGAUUAUGUUGCUUGAGUGCAGCAUAGGUAGAUCAGAGGUGAUGCAGCAGUGUUUCCAUAAAUCACUUCCAAGCAGUGCUAGCUAUUCUGUUAACAAUGUGUUCAAGGAAAAAAAGACAAGCAUGGUAUGAAGUUUUGCAUCACUGACUGUAAGUGAUCUCUCCAUGUGGUCACUAGUGACUUUCACAACCCACACCACAGCUGUGUGUUACAUCUAACUCCUGGUAUACUAAGCACAGGCAGAAUUUAUGAGUGCACAACUACACUUUAAAUAACAGCUGCAUUAUCAGCUGUUGACUCUAAUUUAGAAUUUCAGAGAGUCUAAGACUAACCUAUUGCUCAUAGUGCUAUAAUUAGAAAGGAAACAUACCAUAAAUAUUCUGAGGCUAGCACAGGACUGUUCAACCCAAUUCAAGCCCCUUAUCACAACUUUGUGUUAUUAUCAAAUUAGAUCAUUCAGUUUCACCUUACAUGCUUUUGCUAUUAUGUCCAGACUGGCAAACACAAUUAUUUACUGUCUAGUCACAUGAGAUGAAUGAGUGCAUGAGAUAAGUUUUAUGCUUUCCUAUAGAACUACUGCAAAAAUUCCUUGGAUACCUGCUACAGGACUAGCUGAUCUCUCUCCCAGCUGCUUCAUACUUCAAAUAUUGUUCAUCAUAAUAUAACUGAAGGAACUGAGAUUAAAAUUCCUUUAAAGAGAAUUUAUUAAAUCCCCAGAAGGUCUAUGAACAGGAGAAAAACUUCCAAAGCUGAGAUUAAAGCUGGCACUUUAAUAAAGAUUGAGGUGCCUGAAUAAAUUGGUGGUCCCACAGGUGCUGAGCCACUAACAUUAGCUUCUGCAAGGGAAGAAACUAAGCAGCACAUUGGAAAACUAAGCUAUUUAUGUAGGUACUUGAACAUACCAAAACCCAAGCCUGUGUACCAUACAUCUUGUCCCUUUUAUGGACCUAAGUUUGUCUAGCCUGCUUUCACUUGCUUACUUUACAGCUAUUCAAGAAAGCUCUGUAAGACCAGGGACAGACGUUAGCACAUAACUGUACCCAUUAUAAAUAGUCUCCCUUCCCCCCAAGCUGCAUGCUAUUUGCUUAUACUAGAGAUUACUGUUCCCAUGAGGAAUCAUGUCAGCAUUUGCUAAUCUGCUUCAGUCAACCACAAUUGGGUUAAUUUAAACAGAUGAUGAAAGUGGUUUGCACUAGCAGGGUGAAGUUUGCCUGAAGCAUUUUAGCGAAACCACCCAAGGUCUCUUCCAGGAAUAGAAUGGUAAAGGCAGCUUCCAACUUCUGGCAGUGCAAACAGUUGGACGUAGUAAUGGUGGUAAAGGCACUUCGGAGUCUGGAGGAGGACAUCUGCUCAUGGCCUAACAUGAAGUUAUCUGAGACAUUGAGAAAACAAAAGCAAGUUGCAAGAGAAGCACUGGAUAUGGACUGAUCCAAAUAAAGGAUUCAUCUCUGAUUCCACUGUUUACCAUGGAUGGAAGUUUCAACUGGAAUUCAUUGGUUACAUCAACGUGUCAUUUAGCAUCAUGAGGAGAACCUUCUCCGAUGAAAACGUCUUUAAUGCUCCUAAAAUUACAGAGGUACCUGGGUUUGCAGCUGUAUAAACUACAUACCUCUUCUGCUUUAUGAUUUCAGAAGACAAAAGAAAAUGAGAAUGAGCAAAUAAAAUGCCAUCCCUCUUCAGACAAAAAAAAAAAAAAAAAAGUCUAUAUUAGAGUUCACAGAUACAUCUGUUAGCUUUCAGGCAUUAUUCACAGCAACAACGUCUGCCUCUUCUGCUUUCCUCACAGCAGGAAAGUGAAAAGCUGAAAAACAACUGUUCCCUUUACCUCUCCCCAACAUCUAAUAUUUUCUUCUCCUUAGUCAAGUAUAUAGCUCUGUCUUCGCAUCUGUAUUUUCUCAGUUGUUGUAAUCCAGCAUUCUCUGGGCUGCCUUUUGCUCUCUGUUCCAAGAUAUAUUAUUACCUCCUGUAUAUUAUGCUCUCUUCCUUGUUUUGUACCCCACUACGUUUCUGGCACAUUACAUGCCCCAUGUGCUGGAUGAGAACAUUACCUGAUCCCAUGGUCGUAAAUAACUCUGUUAAUAGAUGUAGAUUAAUGCCAGGUUUUGAAUAAGGCUACUUCUACAGCUGACUUUCAAGUGUAUGAGUACAAACCAGCCUCAUCUGAACCGGUUUUCACUGCCACGGUGCUUUAUCCUGCAAACUGUAAGCAGGAUCCCUUCCUUGGUCCCUAUCUCAAGACAUAACCCUAUGAAUUAACAAAAAGCAGUAAGAUCCCCUGUCAAUCCCCCCAGCCACUUACUCAGCUAGCCAACUGCAUGCUGCUUGAUAGGAUGUUUUUAACUGAUAUCUCCAGUCCCUAUUGUAUUAGACACCAAAAGUACUUAGUAGCUGUACGUGGUCUGAUGUAUUUUGCAAGGGAUACACUCACUGGUUAUUAACUGGAUAAAACCUGGUAUUAGCUUGGCUUUGUUUAAUUUCUAAUGUUAUUUACUCUGCGAUAACUGACUAACCUCAGUUAACAUUGUGAUUUGUUUGCCCUGUAAUGACCAGAUAUUCCAUUACAUUAUGUAAAUUAUUUGCAUAGUGAUUGUGAUUUAAUGUUAUUGGUAAUUAGAAUUAUUUGCCUGCUGGUAAUGCUGUAUAAAUGAUCUGUCAUUAAUCAUGGAGCACGCCUUACCAAGAGCUCUAAUGAGAAAAGCUGCAGUAUAUGUCACUAAGCUAUCCUUAUCCUAUGGGCCAUUGUUUCACAUCACAGGAAACUCGUUUCUGUAUUUAUUGAUCAUUUAUUGAUUGUUACCCUAAAGACAUGGGACUUUGUAAUUGUUUCUGUAUUCUUUGAUGUAGGAUAUCACCUGAGAUCUUUCAGACUGAGUCACAACAAUCAAAACAUAUAUCUGAUAAAAUUUCCUCAUCAGAUUUUGGCACUUUUAGUUUUGAAUCACACUGGUAGUUUCACCUCUCAAAAGAGGAAAAUCCAUAGUCCAAGCCCCUCACAUCAGUAUCCACGGAGUCAAAGGCACAUCUUUGCCAAAGGAGAGUAGAAAAAUUUGGACUUGGUGAUCCUUCUGGGUCCCUUCCAACUUGGGAUAUUCUAUGAUUCUAUGGAAGGUGCAAAAGGCAGGGGCCAGUGGGACCCCAGCCAGCAGAGCAUGGUAUUUAACUCAGGAAAGCUAAUUUCCAAGGGCCAGAUCCUCUUUCUCUGAGAAAAUGUAUCUUUCAUUCUUUCUGCUUCAUUGCCAACAUUUUUAGGGAAUUCUCUUUAUCCACUGUAUAUUCUCCUUAUAGCAAAGCACUAGUAAAUUCAGCAGUGAGAAGAAUGGCAAAGGUUCACUCAGCAUCCUUCCUACCCAUUUGGUGCUUGCCAUGGAUAUUUCAGUAAGUUACUGCUUAAGGAGAGGAUACCAUACCCUAGGAAAGCUGAGCGUCCGUUUAAAGCCGAGUCAUGAAGCCAGACCCCUGAGCUCUGCAGGGAUGAGCCUUUGGGUGACAGCAGGACCUGAUAAAGUAAUCCUGUGUGAGAAGAUAGAGAGAUAUUCUCAAAUGAAAGAGACAUCUGAAAUGAGAAUCGUGCCUUGUAAAGAACCCCUACUAUGACUUAACUGCAACACACAUAGCAUAAAUCCUUUUUCUGAGUGUCUGAAAGAGCUGGAACUGUAUAAAAAAUUAAAAUAUUUGUCACAACGCUUUCUGUACUUUUUAAGGAAUAAAGAACUGUUUACCUAUAUAGAGAUGCAGGCAAAUUGUGUUGCCUGUUCAUCAUAGUAAAAAUCUGAAGAGUCUGAAGGAAAUAUCUGUGCUGAAAAUCUUGAUUUAGGUUUAUAAAGGAAAUAGCUGAAACCACCUGAACCAGAAAAUGUAUGCAAAGAAAUAUCAAUGUGAAUAAAGUUUCUCUUUUAAUUUUAAUAUUUUACCGGAGGUAAAACCCAGAAUUGUUAAUCCUAUUUUUAAUUUUGUACCCCAGUAAGAUUAUGAACAAUCUUGAUUUUCCCUUGGAAGGUUAAAAAAAGAGUAGUCUGCUGUAUGAGAAAAAAG
rnacentral:lncRNA from 1 species